UUUUUAAAGGAUACUCUUGGGAGACCACCUGCAACAGAAGUUCCACUAGUAGACCAUUGUAAAUUCAAAUACCUCUUCAAUUUUCGAGGAGUUGCAGCCAGUUUUCGUUUCAAACACCUUUUCCUGUGUGGUUCUUUGAUCUUUCAUGUUGGAGAAGAUUGGCAAGAAUUCUUCUAUCCACAACUGAAACCUUGGGUUCACUAUAUCCCAGUUCAAUCUGAUCUUUCUAAUGUGAGAGAGCUAUUGGAAUUUGUAAGUGAAAAUGAUGAUGUUGCUCAAAAAAUUUCUGAGAGG